UAGGGAAUAUUGGUCAAUGGGCGAAAGCCUGAACCAGCCAUGCCGCGUGCAGGAUGAAGGCCCUCUGGGUUGUAAACUGCUUUUAUAUGGAAAUAAAAAAACCCUUGCGAGGGUUCUUGAAGGUACCAUAAGAAUAAGCACCGGCUAACUCCGUGCCAGCAGCCGCGGUAAUACGGAGGGUGCAAGCGUUAUCCGGAUUUACUGGGUUUAAAGGGUGCGUAGGCGGCUCUUUAAGUCAGUGGUGAAAUCCUAGUGCUCAACACUAGAACUGCCAUUGAAACUGAAGAGCUUGAGUCAAGGAGAGGUAAGCAGAAUUUAUGGUGUAGCAGUGAAAUGCUUAGAUACCAUAAGGAAUACCGACAGCGAAGGCAGCUUACUGGCCUUGCACUGACGCUGAGGC
rnacentral:rRNA from 1 species